rnacentral:lncRNA from 1 species
AUAAAAACACAAACAUGACUGUUAAUAAAUUAAGCAAUAGAACGCAAUCAAUCUAACACGAAUUAAAUUUAAGCCAUUUUAAUUAAAUCAAGAGUAACGAAAUGAUGAGCAUUCAUCAUAACAGAGUCAAGAAAAUAAAAGAGUAGGGAACUAGAAAAAAAUUCAGUGUCUCUCUGAAGUCACUAACACGCUCCUUUUCUUCUUUGCUCGUUCUGUUAAUUCGAGACCUCUAUGAAUACUUGAGUGCUACUACUCCAAGGUGGAAGAAAUAUCUUUCUCAAGAGGACAAAUCGGCAAAGGAAGGGACAAGAAAGAAAAUGGAAAACAAAGGGAGAAAAUUGAGUAAAUAGAGAAUGUGUUGUGAAUGAAUUGAGUUGAGUUGAGUUGAGUUCUGAAAUGAGUAACAAAGGGAGGUAUUUAUAGGUGGGUUGGCUACUAAUUUUAGCAAAGAAAUAUCAGCCAUUAAAUCCCCCAUGGCUGGCCACCACUCAUGCAUUUGUUAAUGAUUUCAACUUGUUAUAUUUGGCUAGGGGCAAAUCUACAAAAGCAUAAUAAGUGGAGGAGUUUGAAUGCAAUUUCAAGGAGACUUCAAGGGCUGAUUUGCAAGUCAGUAAAUAAGCUGAUUUGAGCUGAUUGGGUCAGCAUUUUGGAUGGGUUUGGGCAACUCGAUUGCUCAUUUGGAUCAGUCUUUCGUAUUAGCACAACUCGGACUCAUUUCCAUAAUAUAUUCAAUAAUAAUUACUUAACCCAAAAUAAAUUGGAAUAAAAUUAAAAUUAAUUGUAUUAUGUACUUUUAUUCAUAAUUUGGAUCGUUUUAGGCUAAAAAAUUAAUUCGCCUCAACGCUUCAGAAAUAGCUUCACGAUUUGAGCUUCUAGUAGUGUCUGUUGAGCCAAUUUUCACCCUUUGUGCUAAUCUGUCGAAAAUAAAUCAAAAUUUAUGAAAAUUUUAUUAUAAAAUUAAUUAAAAUUUGAUAUGUUAAUAAUUUAAGUACAAUUUAAUUAUUUUAUAAUUAUAUUAUAUUUUUCAACAACAAUUACUACGAAACUGCAUGAAUUUUAGUUAAAAAUGGCAUAAAAAUGUCAUAUAUUUUUGUAUUUCCACACCCCCAAACUUAAUUCAUUGCUUGUUCCGAGUAAUGCACAAAUUGAAAAGAAUAUCUUGGAAACACCUUUGAAAAAUUCCUUCAGAAAACAUUCUUCCCAUAAUAUGAAGUUAGUAUACUUAUGCUCAAGAACAAAAAAUUUUGAGAUUUAUGCCACUUAAGUAUACAUAUCAUUCAAAUUAAUCUAAAUUAUUAUUAUGAUAGAAAAAAUAGACUAUAUGCUUUCUCAAUAAAGACAUGUUAAAUCCCUACCAAUUUGAUUUUAUUCCCUUAUUUAAGAUUAAGUUGCAAUCAUUAAGUUUAAUUUAUGCCUUUAUAUGUUGAACAUAGCAAUUUCUCUCCAAUAAUGCAGGUAGCACAGAAACUUUAACCAAUAGGUCUUUUAAAUAGGUUGUAGCAUGGCUAGGCUAGGGGUAGGUAAAAGAUAGAUAAAUUUAGGCUAAAAACCCUAGGCUCAGCUUUUAUCGGACCUUCGGAAUAAUUACCUCCAAUACACCAACUCAUUUUGCUUUUACCAGCUCUUUUGUACAUCUAUUUCUUUCGAGUACAUAUGCUCUCUCUUUUUUGAGCAUUUGGUACUCCUUUUCAACUCCCCCAAACUUAUUUUCAAAGAAUAUUCUAAAUACAUUGAUUCUAGUGUUUGGGAUAAUUUAAAGAUAAUUAUGGGAGAAGAGAUGGCUAAAUAUUGCAAAUGUUCAAAUAAAAUUAGGCCAUUUAAUCUCAAAGUUGGGUUUCAAGGGAUAAAUAUUCAUCAUGGUUGGCUUGAAAGGCUCAAACAGUUCAAACAAAAGUUUGCCUAAAUCAUUUUCAACAUUUCAUGCUUCUUAGGAUUUCGUCUCAAGAAAUUACUAAGUCAAUUCUAGAGACUUAAACUUUCACGGAUGCCUAGCUUUCCUAAGGAACUAAAAUUUGAUGCUAUGAUUUACAUACUUUAUUAAGAGUACAUUUAUGUCAUAAUGCAGCUAACAUAACAAUCAUUGAGAUAAAAGAACUUUAUUCAUACUGAAGUUUAACAUACCUAACAAAAUUUCAAAUUUUUGAACAAAAUAUAACUAACCAUAAUUAAAAGAAAAUUUUAUUCUGAGAAGAAAUGAUUUCAAUUUUUUGGUCCCCGUACUUAAGAUGAACAAUGUCCUCAUUGUUAGAAGUGAAUAGACACUAUACACCAGGUAGGAUUCUAUAAAAGAGGAGGUGAGUCAAUUUGACUACUUAAGUACCAAACUCUCUUUAGAUUGAAUCCUAGACAUGUACAUAUAUAUUGCCACACUUCUUAUUUUGUAACUUGUUCAUUUUUAUUUAUGAUUUCCACCUCUUAUUUUAUUAUGUGAGAAAUAAAAGUCCUAAUAGAACCUAAUCCUAAAAACAUUAAAUAUCCUAGGAAAGAAAAUAAUAUAAAGUAAAGAUCCCCCAUUCUUUUUUAUUUGUAGAUCCAUCAGAAUCUGACUCAUCUUUUGCUCUAUCGUUUUUGUUUUUGCAUGAAUCACUUCGUUCCCUCUUUGAUAUUAGGCUCCAUGGUUCAAAUAUAAAAUCUGGAAACUUGGGCACAAAAAUAAAUGAGUCAUGAAAUAUUUUCGUAAAAGCACUUCUCAUUGAGUCAUCCUAUAUUUUUUAAAAUCUCAAGUAAGCUUGUUGCUGCCACUGCAUAUGUUACAUUAUGUCCAUCAACUUUUACAGCUUAUCACAAGGAUCUGGGCUAGGCGAUUGAGCUCUGAAUGUUGAGGUCACCAUGUCAAGUUCAGUUAUUGGUUCAAUUGAUUCUUCCUUAUUAGGGAUUUCAGCUGACUGCAUUGGUUCGAUCUCUGUGGGAUGUUCUUCUUCUUCUUCGGGAUCCUCGCUCAAUUCAACUCGUUGCUGCAAAAUAGAAUCUCCUCCUAUUUGGCAGAGGUCCCAAUCUGUGAUUGUGCCUUGGCUAUAACUUGUCUUCUUUAUGUUUGUAAGAAUUUUAGCUUUCAAGCACAAAAUUGUUAUCGUAAAGGGAAAGUAUGCUGGGCCAGAACGUCUAGCGGCACAAUUUCAAAUUUCUCUUAGAAUGAUCUUUCCCACAUCAAUGGUCUUUGCCGUUAAAAUCGAGUAUAACAAGACCAUUUGCUCAAAUGAAAUUGUGGUCUCAUGUGAAAUAGGCAUAAGGUUGAUUCGAAUGAAAUAGAACCAUACCUUCGCUAAUGGUGUUAAAUAUUCUCUACGAAAAAUGUGAGAUCCAUGCUUUGACAUAGUCUACUUAGAACUCGGAACUGUAAGUUCCUCGAGAAUUUCUUGCAAUUUUUCAGCCUCAAUAUUUCUCAUCAAAGAAGAAUAUUCGUCGUCUUCAAAAUAAGGUAAUUCAAAGAAUUCAUUAAUAGCGUUUGAGCUUAUUGGUACCUUGAUUCCUCAAGUAGAAACUUUCGUUAAUUCACUUGAGGUCAAAUUCAUAUGAAAUCUUCAUCUAAGAUUUGCCGAGUCAAUUUUCACCCUUUGUACAAAUUUUUCGAAAAUAAAUCAAAAUUUAUGAAAAAUUUAUUAUAAAAUUAAUUAAAAUUCAAUAUGUUAAUCAUUUAAGUAAAAUUUAAUUAUUUUAUAAUUAUAUUAUAUCUUUUGACAAGAAUUACUACGAAACCACAUGAAUUUGAGUUAAAAAGGGCAUGAAAAAGUCUAUAAUUUUUUGUUUUUCUAACCCCAUAUUUGAAAGGACAAAAAAGAGGGUGGAAAAGUUGAAUGAUGCGGUAUUAAAAUUAGGAAAUCAUUUAGCAGCCCGUUUUAAAAAAAUUAAUUUUCAAAUGGGGGAAGUUCAGGGCGUAAUGGAGUUCUUAUUUGGAAUGGUGGUAGGUCUUCUGGUUCUAAAUGACGUAUCCCAAGAGUCAAAGGUGGCUAAAUUCGUAAUGGAAGGAGGCUUAAUCAGACAAUUUAAUAUCGUGGGGAGCGUUUUAAAUUAGCAAAUGUUCCCAAGGCUCCCUUAGUUGACUAGAUGAAUUCGAUAGUGGAACUUAUUAGUCCUUAAUUGAACACUGAAGCGAGAAAAAUGGUUGCUAGCCCAGGGAGAAAGCCUUUUGAUAAGCCCAGGAUCUCAAAGUAGUAAAGGUUAGUUUACUCUUUCUAUCUUUAUUUAUCAAUUUUUUCUUCAAACUGUCAGGGUUGUGCAAGUGUUAAAUUUUUGCGGAUUUGUUGUGAGUAAGGAAUAUAAUUCGGAUAUUGUUAGUUUGCUUGAGAUAAGGACUACUGGUGAAAAGGAAGAUAAAAUUAUUGCUAAGCUAGGAUUCCAUAAUUCUCACUGAGUGGAGGCAAUCAAUUUUUUUGGUGGUAUUUGGGUCAGCUGGAAAGAGUCAGUUGAAGUUGACAUUUUAAGCAACCAUCUCAAUUUACCUUUUUAUAGGUUUCUGAAGGUAUAAACUCCCAACCUAUUCUCAUUGCGUUGGUUUACGAAAGUCCUGGUUGAUAGAAAAAGAAUAAUCUCUAGAAGGAUCUUAAAUUGAUAAUCUCGAUGAGCUCUAUUCUAUGGCUUGCAAUUGGUGACUUCAAUGUUAUCCUUUCUCCCAAUGAAAAGUCAGAUGAUCAUUCGGAAAGGAAGAGAUGUUCGCUUUUUUGUAAAUUUAUUGAGGAAGUUGAUUUGCAAGAUCUGAAGUUCAGAGGCCCCUCCUUUACCUGGCAUAGGGGGAGGCAUUUUUGAACGGUUGGACAGAGUAAUAAAAAAUUUUGCUUGGGGAAAUGCUUUUCCCAAUUUUUCAACCACUCAUCUCUCUAAGUUGAAAUUUGACCACAAACCAUUAUUGCUCUUUCUUAGGCCAAAGAUCAAUAUGUCUAGGGGACAUCUAUUCAGAUUCUUGGCCAAUUGGGCGGAGCAUCCUAGUUUCUCUAAUUUCGUUAGAGAUAAUUGGAAUUUUAAUGGUAAGAUGGUCAAAAAUCUUUUUAAGUUCACCACGAACAUCAAAUAUUGGAAUAAGUUGGUGUAAGGAUACCUAGAUGUUCAUAAAAGACAGUUGACUCAAAAACUUGAAUUCAAAAAGCUCAAGAAAAGUCAUAUUUUGACUAUCUAGCCUAGUUAGAAUCUUAGGUUCAAGAGGAAAAUGAAAAUGUCAUUCAUCAUGAACAAUUACUGUGGAAGCCAAAGGCUAGGAGAUCAUAAUAUUAAGUUUUUUUAUUCCUUCAUACUGCUUAGAAGGAAGAAUAAUUGGAUCAAGAGUCUAAAGAAUGACAACGGAUAUUUGACAUAAGAUGAGGAAGAACUUUAAGAAGAAUCUACUAAGUUUUUUAAAAAAUUGUACGGUGAAAAUCCAGGCCAAAUGCCAGAAUUACCGAAUAAUUCCUUUCUGAAACUGAAUCACAGUGAUACUCUAUUUUUGGGAAAAAAAUUCUCAAAGGAUGAGGUAAAGGAAGUUUUGUUUGAUAUAGCCCCUUUAAAAGCUCUCGGAAGUGAUGGUUUUCACUCUUCUUUCUGAGCCAGUGGGACUUGGUUGGUGAUGUCAUUUGUGAUUAGAUUCAAAAGGUCUUUGCUAGGCACGCCAUUGAUCCCAAGUUAAAUAACUCAUUGAUAUUUCUUAUACCGGAAGUGCCUAAUUUGAAAGCUACGCCCAAUUUAGACCGUUAAGCUUAUGGCCAAUUUUUUUAGAAAUUGGUUAUGAAAGUCAUUUCUAAUGGGUUCAAUAUGGUUUUCCCUAAAAUCAUUGUGCCAAAGUAAACAGGUUUCAUUGCAGGCAGAAACAUUACUGAUAACAUUGUUGUGGCUCAAAAAGUUAUUCAUUCCAUGAGAAGCAAACAAAAAAAUAAUAGGUGGUUGGCUAUUAAGAUAGAUUUGAAAAAUGCCUAUGAUAGGGUAAGAUGGGAUUUUAUCAAUGCAUCUCUUCAAGCAACAGGUAUUCUUGAUUUCCUUUGAAACGUUAUCAUGUCUACCAUCAUGAGUUCUACUAUGCAGAUAAUGUGGAAUGGGGUGCCAACGCAAAAAUUUCAUCUUGCAAAAAGGGUUAGACAAGGAUGUCUUCUAUUGUCGUACCUAUUUAUCUUAUGUAAGGAAUGGCUUGGGCAUUGUAUUAAGUCAAAUAUUAACUCUGGGCAAUGGCAUCCUAUACGUUUUUCGCGAUCGAGUCCAACACUAUCACAUAUGUUUUUUAUAGAUGAUUUGGUCAUUUUUGGUUAAGCUGACAUGCAACAGGUAAGUUUGAUUAAGAAAAUUUUAGAUAAUUUUUGUGCUUUUUCAGGGUAUCGGAUCAAUGCUUCCAAGAUUAAUAUGGUCUUCUCUAAUGGGGUUGAGAGAGAAUAUGGAAGGAAACUGUGCUAUAUUUUUGGAUUUCAUACGACGCAGAACCUUGGAAGAUAUCUCGGAGUCCCUCUAUUUCAUGAAAGGGUAACAAACAAUUCCCUGAGGUUUAUAGUGGACAAGGUUUGAAGCAAGCUUCAGAGUUGGGAUACAAGGAAAUUAUCUAUUAUGGAUGGAGUUACUCUAGCCCAAUCAAUUCUUUUAUCCAUUCUGAGUUUUUUAACGUUGUCCAUAAUGAUCCCUCAAGGGUUGUGCGAGGAGAUCGAAUGUUUGGUGCAGUAGUUUAUUUGGGGGUCGUUUAGGGGUAACAGGAAGACACCCUUGGUGAAAUGGUAGGAGAUUUGUAAACUGUCAACCAAAGGCUUGUGGUGGAUUGGGGUUUCGAUAACUGAAAGACCAAAAUAAUUCAUUUAUCCUGAAACUGGAUUUCAAUAUAGUUUUUAACACAGAUUAUAUAUGGGUUCGGGUCCUCAGAUCUAAGUAUGCUAUCAAAGGAGGUAUCCUAGAAGACAUAUUUCGUAGCAAGUCUUCCUUCCAUUGGAGGUCUCUUUCUAGAAUAUGGCCUUUGCAUCAGGAUAGCUUAUUUUGGUCAGUUGGUAAUAGGGAAAUUAUUAGAUGCUAGAAGGACAAGUGGAUACCAAAAAUUAGUCCUCUGGUUAAUCACAUUCCAUCUCACGCUAAUAUGGACUUAGAUUGUCCCCUUAGUGAGUUGGUGACUGAAGAUAAUUUAUGGAAUAUAGAUUUGUUUCAAAUCCAGCUGUCAAAUGAUGUCAUUAGGCAUAUUGUAAGCAUUCCUCCUCUUCACCCUUUAGUCGGUCUGAAUAUUGUCAUUUGGGUUGGGGUUGCAUCAAAGACUUUCUUUAUUAAGAGUGUUUACCGAAUGCUUAGAUAAGAGACAUUGAAUUUGAAUGAUAAUGCUUAGAAGGUGGUAUGCAAAUUCCCGGGACCACAAAGGGUUCGUAUGUUUCUUUGGCUUGCCUUUAAAGAGAGGCUACUCACACAGGUAGAAGGAAAAAUACGAGGUAUAGGGGAUGAUGAGCAUUGCACGGUAUGCAAGAGUGCACCAAAAGAUGCCAUUCAUGCCAUAAUAGAUUGUUUCACUACGAAAGGAGUGUGGUCUAAGCUCAUACCAGUGAAAAAACAUGGUGUUUUCUUUUCAGGUAAUGUGACGCCUGAAUUUUGGGCCUAGAAGUAUUGGGCCUUGAGCUUGGAAGUGGAUAGGAGGCUGCUCUUAGAUAUUUUAUUUGUGCAAGUGAGUAACACAAUUGCAUGUUUGGUUCAGUGGCUAAGUGAUUUGAGUGUAUUUGGGAGUGCUUGAGAAGUCUGGGCUCAAGUUUGGCCUUUGGCAAAAUUUUACUUUUUGAGCUCUUAAGGGAACUUAGAUGUUAGCUUACAGGAUUUAUAAUUAUUUGUGGUUGUUUUAUGACACAAAUAGAGGGGAUGGUCUAGUGGCAAGGUGGCAUGUUGUUUUUGGUAAGGGCUGGAGUUCGAGUCUUACUGUAUGCAAAUGGGAUUAUAUAUUUUGCUCAUGAGGAGGUAAGAGUUGGUGUUGGAUUUGAACUCUAUUGUUGGAGCGUUUGAAUUGGUCUUGUAAGUUGGUUGUAGAGGAUAUCAAGGAGGGAUAAGGGGAGAAAAUCAAGGAGAGGGGGUAGAGAUUUUCAAGGAGUUUGAAGGCUUGAGUAGUUGUGCCGAAAUAGGUUUCUUGCUCUUGGAAAUUCGACUAGGGGCUUUUGUUAGAUAUAUCCGAAGUGCCGGAGUGGUUUUCUUGGCUGGCUCUUUUGUGUGUUGUCGUUUGGUUUGUCCUUUUCAGCUUUAGUUUUGUUUCUUUUCUCUAAAAGAAACCGAAUACUAUUUCUUCUCUGCUUGAAACUUCCUACUCAUCUAUUCUUUAAUCACUUUCUGCUAUAGCCGACCCUCUCUUUUACUUUCAUCUCUACUUCUUUUCCAAUUCUGUUUUUCCUUUCUCUGUUGGACCGAAUUCUCAUACCUUCUACAUCUCAAAUCUUUUUGUUUUUCUUGUUUCGGGUCGAAUCUUCCUGACUAACUAUUGCCGAAAUACGUUUGUUUUAUUGGUAAGGGGGUGUUACAACCACUUUAUUAUUUCGUUCUUAGUCAAAUUUCUUUUGGCUCUAUUAACAAGCUUCGGUUUUCCUUUUCUUUCUCUUGGGUGCCGAAUGUAUGGUUGUUUUCUAACAACUUUUGAUCUGGCGAAUCAUGUUAGGAGGGGGGAUUCGCCCUUAAUCAGCAGUGAGACGCUAGUAUCUGUUAGAUCUAGCAAGGUGGGUGUUUGUGGUUUAGUAAAUAAAGUUUAUGGAUUAAGAGUAUGUGUUAAUCUUGUGUUGCGUUGGUUAUAGGUUUAUUGCUCCAUAUUAUUCGCAGUCUUCAUUGUUGUAAUAAGGUGUGUAUUUGUAUGCGGUAUUCGAUGAUCAGCUGAAAAACCUAAAGUAUGUGUUGCUACACUACUAUGACUGUAGAUCGGCAAAAUGCCAAAAAGUCAGAAAUAUGGCUAUAAUGUCACACGAGCGUGCGAUCGUGCGUAUGGUGAACUGAGCCCACGAAUAUGGGUGUUAGUUUGUAGAGGUCACCACAAGUGCUCUCGUGGUCUUGGGCUGUUUUGGGCCUCAUUGGGCCAAAAUGGGCUGUGUGGGCCCAGUGGGCUUGUGGGCCACACAGAUAAAAUGUAUGUGAUGUGGUAAGUGUUGUUAGACUGUGACGUUUGCAUAGUUGGGGCCGUUAUGGGCCUCGAUGGGUCGAAAUGGGCCGCGUGAACCCGAUGGGCUUGUGGGCCACACGGGUAAAAUCCUCGAUAAGUGAUCAUUGAUAGGUUGGUUUUUGAGGCUCGCGAUGCCGUAUACGAAUCUGGACUAAAUGGGUCAUACGAGCGUGUAGGCCCACUUGGGACCAAUAGCGAGUUUUAGGCCCAUAUACACUGUUCUGGCCUUGUAGGUUAUCUAAGUCACUCGAAGGGACGAUAGACCUUUUAGGAGGUCGUAAUAAGUACCGAGACCCCAAUAUUUGUAAAAUGACCAUAAUACCCCUAUAGGGUAAAAUGACCGAAAAACCCACAUAGCGUAAAAUGACCGUAAUGCCCCUGUAAGGUAAAAAUGACAGUAAUGCCCCUAUAGGGUAAAAUGACCGAAAAGCCCCCAUAAGGUAAAAUGACCGUAAUGCCCUCGUAGGGUAAAAUGACCGUAAUGCCCCUGUAAGGUAAAAUAACCGUAAUACCCCUGUAGGGUAAAAUGAUCGAAAAACCCUCAUAGGGUAAAAUGAUCGUAAUGCCCUUGUAGGGUAAAAUGACUGAAGUACCCCUGUAAGGUAAAAUGACCAUAAUGCCCCUAAAGGGUAAAUGACUAUUUUGCCCCUCGAGUGUAAAUGAUUUAUUUUUCCGUGAUGUAAAUGACUGAUUUUUUUGUGAUUUAAAUGACUGAUUUGUUUGUGAUUGGUAUGACUGAUUUGUCUAUGAUUUGUAUGACUGAUUCUGAGUAUGGCAUUUUGCAUACACGACAUACUGCAUGGGGUUAGGAUACUACCACAAUCACUGUUACUGGUGGCUUGGCCACAUAUACUAUUACAGGCAACUUUGCUGCGAUACUGUUGCUGGCAGCUUUGCUACAAUGCUACUGAUGGCUUUGUGCCAAUCAUAUUACCAUUACUGAUGGCUGUGUGUCGAUCAUAUCACUAUUGCUGAUGGCUUUGUGUCAAUCAUAUUACUGUACUUAUGGCUUGUAGUCAUUCUGUUUAUAGCUUAUAGCUAUCCUGUUUACGGCUCUUAGCCAUUCUGGUUAUUGGCAGCUUUGCUGCGUUACUGAUUAGUGUCGCAACCGGUGUUGAGAUUGCUGUGUUGGCUGGGUGGGUCGAUUUUAUCCCCACAUAGUGUGUUGGUUGGUACGGGUGGUGUGUUGGUUGGAUUGGGAUGUGUUGCAUAAUUGCAUUGUUGCAUUUCUAUUACUGAUUCUGUCACUGUCUUGGGCUUAGACCCACAUGUAUUCUGUUUUUAAUUUUGAUACUGUAAUGGGCUAAGGCCCACACUGCACUUUUACUAUUUUGGGCUAAAGCCACAUUGUUCUGUUACUGAAAAGGGCUCAGGCCCAGAUUGUUACUGCUUAUAUUACUGACUGAAUGAUAGGGGAUUACACACUGAGUUUUUGUAAACUCACCCCGUUUUUAACCUUUCAGGUAAUCCCCAGCGUUAGACAGUUCGGAACUGUGAGGGACUCGAAGAGGGCCACACAACUGCACAAGUUUUAUUCUGUUUUGCUCAUUUACUAAAGCACUUUGAUUUUGAUUCGGGUUGUAAUAAGGCCUCAAAAAUUUUGGAUUUUAAAUUUGGGAUUUUAUUGAUUAUGAUUCUUAUCUGCUAGAAGGAGAACCCAGUUUUCCAAAAUAAUAACUAUUUUCAAACACUACGUUUCUGCAACUCAAUUUUUAAAUAACACGUUUUCGCAAGUCAUUUGUUUUAAAUUAAUCUUCCGCAACAAUAAGGUUUUGAAGGUAACAACGUUUCUUUAAUAAACCUCGAUUGAAAAUAAGCAAACACAAACUGAGGUUUUGUACAAGUUUUAAAUGGCAAGAAGUUUGAAAUUUCAAGAAGGGUUUAUAAUGAAAACAUGGUUUUCGAAAAACUCUUCAAUGUGACACGACAGAUUUGGGCCUAACUUCUAGGUCGGGUUUGGGGUGUUACAAGUAAUCUUCAAGAGUGGUUGGUAUCCUACUUGGGAAAUCGUUACAACUUCUUCUUAAAGGGAGUGGAAUGACAGUGUUUCUUUGGGCUAUUAGUGUGGCGCAGUUGGAAGAACUAUAAUCUUUUUAUUUUUCGAGGCGAUCAAUGAAGUGUUGAUGAAAUAAUUAAAUGAUCGUAUAGCUGGGCCUUAUAAUGUUACUCUUCUCUCAAGGUAUCCCAUCUCAGGAGACAAAGUAUCAAUAUGUUUGUCAAUGGAGAAAGGUCUUGGAUCUGUCUAAAUUCUAAUGGUGUUGUGAAGUUAGAUUUCGAGUUGGUUGUUUUUGGAGGAGUAUUGAAGGAUCGUCAUGGGGGUUGGAUUCUUGGUUUCAACAGGAGUUUGGGUCACUAUUCGGUUUUCAACGCUGAAUUAUGGGGGGUUAUUGAUGGAUUAAGGAUUUUACAGAGUUAGAAUUAUAAUGCAGGCUAUUCAGUAAUCAAUCUUAAAAAUAUCUUCUUUCGUGCUUAUCAGGCGUAUUCAGCUGCACUUGUUGAAUAUCAGUCAAUAGAAGCUUGAACAUAUACCUUGUGAAGAAAACUUUGAAGCAGAUCACAUCACUAAGAUGGUUUUUAACAGAAACAAGGGAUUCAUUUAGUUAAGGAUAUCCCUUUAGAUUGGAUUAAAUUAAUGUAAUCUUCCCGUUUAUUUUUUUCACCAAAAAAAAUCUAAUAAAUCUAUAAAUAUAUUAAUUAUGUCUUUCAAUAAAAAAAUAAUUAUUCAAAAUUAUUGAUCUACAAUUUUUUUUUUACUACCUACAUCAAAUAUUCAUAUUUGAAAUAUUAUAUGUUAUCUUUGAUUUAUUAUAAUUAAAUAUAUGUUUUUCACUGCUUAGAAUAUCAUUGUGUUUUUUUUUUCUCUUUUUCGCUUUGAUAAAUAUGGUAAUUCCUUAGAAUGAACAUGAUUUUUUGCACCAUUACAUUUUUAUGUGUAUCAAAUUUUCUUGAGUGUGAUUUAAUUAAAUCAUUUUAUAUCUUUUCUUUUUGAAAAUCUAUUUAAACGAUGCACCUUUAUAUAUAUAUAUAUAUAUAUAUAUAUAUAUAUAUAUAUAUAUAAAUAUAUAUAUUUAUAUAUAGUAUGUGUAAAUCAUUAGAAAUGUAUGGAUUGUAUAAAAAGAAGAGGUCUGGUUUAAGCCCUCAGAAUAAAGUUUUGAAUGCUUCGUUUAACUUCAACCAAUGAUUUUACUAUUUUUUCCACCAUUUGUGUGCCUUUCUGGUUGGAAUCUUAGUGGAAAUACGACUGUUUUAAUGAAAUUUCAACCAACUCAGCAAAAAAAAAAAAAAAAAUGGAGAAAUAGGAAAUCAAAGAAAAUUGAAUCAAGGAAAUCUCAAAUGAACUUUUUAAUCUCAGAAAAACUGUUUUACAAAGCUAAGCUUAAGCCUAUUUAUAGUAACUAAUAGACUAAGCUAUAACAAUAAUAACGGGCCACAACAAACAACCACUAGCCCAACUACUUAACCGAAAAAGCUACCUACCACAUAACAGCCUUUGACUCACUUCUGAUCUCAUGCACAAAAUAGAGUCACAACAUUCUCCCCACUCAAGUGAAAGAAACAUAGAGGUUUUUUUACUAUAAAUUAGAUUAUAAUUUUGCCCUAUCUAUUAAAAAGAAAAAACAAGUGCCUCUAUCUUAUAUCAAAAAGUAAACUGAUCUCUUUUUUUAUAAAAAUUUCACCCAUUUAUAUAGUUAAAAAAUAGCGUGAUUGACGAAAAAAUCAGACAAUAACACGUGGUAUGCUACAUCCAUCUCAUACUAAUGUAUAAGAAAUAGUUUUCAACAGUAGAAAUAGACGAAAUUUGUAACAAAAGAACAAGUUCGCUUUUUGAUCUAACAUACAUAGAUUAAUUUGUUCACUUUUUUAAAUAGAAGGAGAAAUGCAAUCCCACAUGUAGUAUAGGGACCUCUAUGAUACUUUUACACACUACUUGUGUCGCCUAGGGUGAGCUCCCUUUCAAUAAGUUAGAAGUCAAUACCAAAAUUUUAAAAAUUUCUAAGAGCAUAUCUUUAUAUACUUUAGUAUUCCAAAAUUUCUAAGUAAUACCAAAAUUUGUAAGAAAAAUUAUUAGGAAUUUUGGUAUACCAAAAUUAGGUUACCCAAUAAUAGUCUAAAAUGUCAAAAAAAAAAUUCCAAUAUUUCUAAAGAGCAUAUCAUUAGGUAUUUUGGAAUGUAGAAAAAAUUCAAAGGAAGUAUCAAUAAUUUUAUGGAUAGUUUUUAAAUAUUGGGUAUUUAUAAUAAAAAAUUUCGUAUAUAUAAAACAUAUUUUAUAAAAUAAAUCAUGUUGCCUAAGUGCUAGAGGUGCUCAUGGGCCGGGCCGGGCCCAGAAAAAAUUUCGGCCCGUAUCAUAGCUCGGGCCCGGCCUGGCCCAAAAUAUGGGCCUGAGAUUUUGUUCAGGCCCUGCCCGGGAAAAAUCCUAAGCCCGAGCCCGGCCUGGCUCGGCCUAUUUUUUAAUAAAACACUAAAAAUUUAUUUUAAAAAUAAAAAAAUUUAAAAAAAUAUUUUAAAAAUAUUUUAAAAUUAAAAAAUUAAAAAAAUAUAUUUAUUAUAUUCGGGCAGGGCCGAGCCGGGCCCGGGGACAAAAAAGUGGUGCCCGAAGCCCGGCCCGUUUUCUAAACGGGCCUUAUUUUUUUACCCAAGCCCAUAUUUCGGGCCUAUAUUUUUACCCAAACCCUCCCAUAUUUCGGGCGGGCCGUCGGGCCGGGCGGCCCAUGAGCACCUCUACUAAGUGCUCACCAAGAUUUCUGACAAAAUAUUAAAAUAACUAAAAUAAGAGUCUACCAAAUUUUUAAAGAAAUACUAAAAUUUCUAAACUUUUUUUAUUGAAAUAAUAUGAAAAACAAUUAAUUACCUAAAUAAUAUAGAAUGAAAAUUAUUUACUAAAGUAAUAUAUUUACAUAGAGUUAUACCUGAUAAGUUUAUGACUAAGUUCUCCAAGUCAUCGUCUAGAUAUGAGAGUCUCAAUCUCGCGAGAGCAUGCUCCCUUUGCUUUGCCGAUACACCCUCUCUUGGCUAUGGUUAUUAGGUAGAGGUCUUAUACUUCUCUCUCUAUAUCUCAAGCCCAGAAAGUAUUUGAAGAACUAAGGCAAAGAUUUGAAGAACAAAAGUAAAGAUUUGAAGAACAAAGGCUAAGUUUUUAUAACUUUGAAUGAAAUUACAAAGCAAUAAAUAAGUUUCUCUCUCUCUUUCUAACUACUACCUAAUGAGAGACAUCUGAGUUUCUUAUAUAGAGACUUGGGUGCUUCAUUGAGCCCUAUCGACAGUCUGGAUAUAAGUCACGAGAGUUUUCUUUCACAAUAACCAAUAAAGAUGGGUAGGCGCAUGCUUCCUAAAGGCGCUUUUCCCAAAAAUAAAAAAUUAAAACAAAUACAGAUAAGAUGCUUUUAGCUGAGCAUCUACAACUUUUAUCUCGUGACUCUCUUCACAGUUUUAUA